AAAAAAUUGAGAGGGUAACUACGGACUUCAUUGGUCUAUUGUUAAUACAGAAUGAGACGAUACAGUGAAAGAACUCUCCAAAUGACAAAGCACUAUCUCCAUAUAAGAAUAUCGCUUCUGUUGCAUCAUAGUGAAGUAGUUCCACAGCUGUUUCUGCUCGGACUGACUGGUUCAAAUCUCGGCUAUACUGCCAGGAUUUAAGACACUUUGAAAAUGGGCAAAGCCUCAUUUUUCCUAGGUCGAAAGGAGUUCAAGAUUGGGUAAAUCUGAGGAUUCAGAAGGAUGAUAAAUGUUAGAACAUGGAAUCAGGGUGCUUAGAUUCUUGGUGCCUCAAUUUCUCUGUCAGUUAAAUGCCGUAUGAUCAAAUGACUCUUUUCUCAUUGGCUUGAUGUGAGAAAGAAAUGACUACAUAUAAUAAUCAGCAACAUUCCUGGCACAUAGUAAACAUCGAUGUAUUACUAUUAAUACCUCCACCUACUCUAUAUACUGACUCUCUAUCCUCCCUCUCUUCCUCCUUCCCUGGAUCUUAAAAGAUGAGUGUGAUUAGAAACAAAAUUUUGUUGUGAUAAAGUCCACCUGAAUGUUCCCUCAGAUACUAACUAAAUCUCUUUCACAUGCAACCUUUGGACAAAAGUCUCUUCCUUUUUGCUAGGAAUUUUCCCAUUUUUUUCUCAUUUCUUCUCCUCCUGCUUUAGGAAAGAAAAAAAAAAGCAUAUGCAAGAAUUAUUUUUUCUUCUCCCCAGAUGUCACCAGCACUAACACCUGUCCUAGUUCCAGCUCUGGUGAACUUCAGCAGACCUGCUCAAGUGGACAGCAUUAGGAACCUUGUCAGUUUUGCAGUGCUUUUUGCCUGAAGCCACCUCAGGUCCCUCAUGCUGCAGCAACACGAUUCACGGCUCUGUUGCAGAAUGUGAAGGAGCAAGUCUCUCAAUUGGCUAACUGAAUCAAGCUCUGCAAUUUCCUUCUUCCCUGGAGCCUGAUCCUGCAGGACAAGGAUCUAUUUUCAAGUCAAUUACAAUUCCUAAGGGAUAUAAUUACCUACAAAAUCAGCAAAGGAACCCUAUUUCUCUUAUGGUAAUGUAAUAGUAAUUUUUAAAAUAACUACAAUACAUAUGAUAGAAAUGG